AUUGAACGCUGGCGGCAGGCCUAACACAUGCAAGUCGAACGAGUGGCGGACGGGUGAGUAAUGUCUGGGAAACUGCCUGAUGGAGGGGGAUAACUACUGGAAACGGUAGCUAAUACCGCAUACCAUCGGAUGUGCCCAGAGGGGAUUAGCUAGUAGGUGGGGUAAAGGCUCACCUAGGCGACGAUCCCUAGCUGGUCUGAGAGGAGUACAAACCACCCUGGACCGAAGACACGGUCCAGGCUCCUACGGGAGGCAGCAGUUGGGAAUAUUGCAAAAUGGGAGCAAGCCUGAUGCAGCCAUGCCGCGUGUAUGAAGAAGGCCUUCGGGUUGUAAAGUACUUUCAGCGGUGAGGCGUUACCCGCAGAAGAAGCACCGGCUAACUCCGUGCCAGCAGCCGCGGUAAUUC
rnacentral:rRNA from 1 species